rnacentral:rRNA from 1 species
UACGUAGGGUGCGAGCGUUGUCCGGAAUUAUUGGGCGUAAAGAGCUCGUAGGCGGCCUGUCGCGUCGGUUGUGAAAGCCCGGGGCUUAACCCCGGGUCUGCAGUCGAUACAGGCAGGCUAGAGUUCGGUAGGGGAGAUCGGAAUUCCUGGUGUAGCGGUGAAAUGCGCAGAUAUCAGGAGGAACACCGGUGGCGAAGGCGGAUCUCUGGGCCGAUACUGACGCUGAGGAGCGAAAGCGUGGGGAGCGAACAGG